ensembl:lncRNA
UAUAUAUAUAUAUAUAUAUAUAUAUAUAUAUAUAUAUAUAUAUAUAUAUAUAUAUAUAUAUAUAGGCUAUUGAUUUUAUUUCAGUUAAAAUUUAUUUUAAGGUAACAAAAGAUUUAGCGAGUGAUUUGUUACACUGAUUUAAACGAUGACUUUUACUGAUUCAUUCAAAGAGCCAAUGGAAGAAUUGUAUUUUCAAUUGUGUUUUCCAUAUGUGGACGCAUAACUUGACAUAAUCCAAACGCAAUUGCAAAUUUUGCAUUACUUUUUGCGUUGAUACUUUCACGAACGCACAGUGACUGACAAAUUUCAAAUGAAAAAGCAGUCCAUUUGCAACUGUAUUUCCCAUGUCUUACGAGUUAUGUGCCUGUCAUAUUUAAAUAACAAUAUUAAUCACCAUACCUGCUUUUUCACUCUCUGUGUUGCGCCUGUAACCAGACAAAACUCAAAUGAAAUCGCAAAUCUUUUUGGCAUUUGAAUUUCCAAUAUCAACCCGUGCUGAAGGAGAUAUAUAUAUGACUAGGGCUGUCCCCGACUAAAGUCUUUUCUGGUUGACUAGUAGUCGUUCAUUUGAAGCAUUAGUCGACUAAUUGCACGUUUAUUAAUAAACGAUUUCAAUUAUAAUAAUGAGCCUUUAAUUGCCUACAUAGCCUAUAAGCUCUCAAGCACACGCAUAAGCUUGCCACAGCACAGCGACAGAAGAAUUAAUGAUUAUGAAUGUGUCAGGGAAAAACAGUAACAGAUGCUGCAUUAACAUUUUAAGAAUUUAUUGCUAAACUAGUGCUUUCUUUGUUCUCUGUUUAAGAGAUGACUCCUCUGUCUGCAAUUUUAAUAUGGCUUACAUAAUCUGAGAAUAUUUCUUUUUCAUUUGAAUUGGCUUAUUUGAAUUGACAUUUCGCUCUCUAUAGAUAUAUUUUUUUUCAUGUCUGUCAGACAAAGCGCUCAAGUUCACAGAGACUGAGACGCCAGAAAGCGCAUCCUGCUUGCUUUCAUUGUUUUACUAAAGUGCAAUGUUUUGUCGUUAUUGUGAGUGCACAAAAAUAAUCGUAGAGUCUUUACAGAUUUGAAAGAUGUAUUACGCUUAUCUGUAUGAGCAAAAAUAACAGAGUAUUUUAAAAGCAAUUGCGCACCGGCGCCUCCAUCUGUCCUGCAGUAAGUUGAAUGAUAGACAAGCGUUUGGAUGUCCUGCCCAGUAGCCUACUGUAUUACCACAGACCAGCCGUUAACAAUCCGUGUGACUUUUUGGAUUUUUAAUUAUUUAUUUAUUUUCUGUGAUUUAAGCAACUAAUAAAAUUUUGGUCGACCAAGCCUCUUCUGAUUGACUAAUGGUUAGUCGACUAUUAGGGGGCAGCCCUUUAUAUAAUACAAUUUGCAAUUCCUUUUAAAAAAAUACUGAAUAUCUGAAAGUCCUGAAUAUUCUUCUAUAGAACUGGCUCACAUGAGUCAUUUGGUCCCAAAUUGGACUUCGUUGGCUAUGCUAUAUGUUUGUCAUUGCAUGCAGUCAGCAACGAUCCAGGCAAUUCAGACCGAUAACUUUUGAGUUUGCUUUUGACUGAUUCAUUCAAAGAACCAGUUAACAUGAAUCCUUUUUUCCUAAAUUGGACUACAUUGGACGUGUUGUAUGUUUUUUUUGCUGCAUGCAGAGACAACACUAUAGAAUUUGAGUGACCUAAUAUUGCUAAACUUACUGAAAUGUAGCUUGAAAGCACUUUUGAACCAAUUUAUUAAAAUAAGUAGAAUAAAAACACUGUAGUAGUCAUAAUUUUAGCAGUGUCAGACCCACCCAGACACUGUAAUUUGCAUCAUGAGGGUUUGAAUUUUACCAUCUUAAUUCUCAUCCACGAGUGUGUAAUUUACACCUGGCAUUUUCUGUCUGACCACACUAGAGAUGCAUUGGAAUGAUGGUAUAUAUGCAAUCCAGCUAAAAAAAAAGCUAAAAAACAAAAAAAAAAUCCAGAAAUGAAAUGCAGGUGUAAAGAGGCCUUAUUUGUUAUUUCUGCAUCACAUGAUUCCAGCUGUCUUCUGCGUGUCAGGAUGAGCAGAGGCCAUCUCAGGUGCAGAGACCUGCUUUAGUUUUCAGUUUUGGUGUCCUGACGUGAGCACAUGAUGUUUAGGUUUCUCAGCGUGGUUUUCAGUGUGUGUUCAUGUGUAAAGUAUGUCUGGGCUCUUUAAUUUGUAUAUCAAAGGUGUUUGCUGGCAGCGUGUUUGUGUAAAUGCAGUGAAGUGUUGUGCAGUGUGUUUUUCUCUCAGCUAACAGCUGGUUCAAGAUGGGUCUACACUGCAGGUGGCGACGUGACGCUCCAGUUUUGAUGCGUCAUACCAAGACCGUUUCGAUGCAGUAUAGAUGCUGCUGUCAGUCAUUGCAGUGCUGUGGUUCAGCUCCUCUAGUCCGUAAACAGGAUGCUCGCUCGACCUGUGUGAAUAUGAAGAUGAAUAUGAGUAGCUGUGUGUGUAUUUUUUCAUGAGUGUACAUGUAUUUUGCCAUGUUGUGUCAUUGUACUCACACUUUCCAAAGUGCAUGUGCAUUUAUUGUGAAUAAGCCAAUAAAUAUUUUUUUAUGUACUUUAAGGGCCAGUGUGUAUUCUCAGCAUGCUGUUGUUACAGGCGAACAAGUGUUUUUGAAUCUGCAGCUACAGAUAAACUGCUCAAGUUGGGCGAAAGAUUGAAAUAAAAAAUGAGGAAAAAAAUAAACCCUUUUUGCUAAAUGCAUUAAUGCACUUUUUUCGUUUUUUCUUCCCUGACGUGCAUUUAAUGCAAAAAGCACUUCAUGCAAUAACACAGCUAGCGAUGGAUGACGAGUGGUUUUGCUAGCUGUUUCAGAUUACAGAAAACAAGCCUUUUUUUUUUUUUUAAAGAAAAGUAAGAUAUUUGUCCAUCAUCAGGAGGUUUAGACUGACACAGGAAACUUGCUCUCUUUUUUUCUUCUGCGCUUCUCCCUCUCCCUCUCUCUAUCUCUGUGUCUUUCUUUCAUGUGUAUUUUCUCAGUACUAAAGCUGUGGUGGGGCUUUCGAGAGCAGCAGUAAAGGUCAGAGUGAUUGACACUCUGUUUUAACAGCUCACAGGGAGAGAGAGAGGGAGGUAAAUAAAUGAAGGAGUGUAAAAAUAAAGCCUGUGAAAACCAUGUGCAAACCAUUCUGACCUAAGAAGGGAUCAGUCUUUAGCUCAGCAUGCACGUUUGUACAAAUGUGUGAGUGUAUGUUUUAAAAAGAAAAUGGUAUAUGCUGAAAAACAUGCUAACUGUCAAAACCACUGAAGAACAUUGAUAUACUGAAUAUAUACUCUAAAAUGUAUUUUUUUAAACUAUUUUUUAAACUAUAUGGUAUUAUUUUCAAAAAAAUUAGAAAAAAAUUAGAAAAGAUAUUAAAUUGAUUUAAUAUACAUACUUUGCUGGCCAAAUAGGAGCACUAAAAGCAAAAUUGUAUUGUUGUGCCCUCUCCCUCAAAUAUUAAGGAAGGAAAAAAAAAACCUACUAUAGGGGUCAAAAAUUUUUAUUAAGUAUGUAUGGAAUUAUUUUCAGAAAAUGUAGAAAAAAAUAUUAAAUUGAAUUAAUGCAAAUAUUAGUAAAAUAUUAAAAUGUAUAUUUGUGUAAGGAUUUUAUUAACAGUUAUUUCACUGAAAGAGCAUCAAAUGUAAAGUGUCACAUAGAAAUUGUUGGAAUGUCAAUUAAAUUCCAUUUUCACUGUAAAUUGCAAGAGGACUUCAUAAAACUGUACAUUUUACAGUAUUUUACUGUAAAAGUUAAUGAAAUGUUCCAUUAGAUUUAUUAGAGUUUUAUGCACACACAUAUCUCUUGUAUAUACUAUAGUAAGAGAACUUAUCGUUAACCAAUUAACAGCUUUUACUGUAGCAUUUUUACAGUCUUUUUACAGAUUGUGUGUAUAUAUUUGUGAUGCUGAUAAAUUUAUUUUAUUUCUGAAUUUCAGUUGUAUCUUUUUAUAAGUUUUAAUAGAUUUAUUUAAUAGAAUUAUUUUAGAUUAUUAAUUAUUUGUUUAUAAAUAUUUUAUUUAUGCUUGUCUGUGUGUGUAUUCAGUGGUGCUAUGCUUAAUAAAAAAAUAUAAAUUA